rnacentral:rRNA from 1 species
UACGUAGGCAGCGAGCGUUGUUCGGAGUUAUUGGGCGUAAAGGGCUCGUAGGCGGUUUGUCGCGUCGGGAGUGAAAAUCCAGGGCUUAACUCUGGACUGGCUUCCGAUACGGGCAGACUAGAGGUAUGCAGGGGAGAACGGAAUUCCUGGUGUAGCGGUGAAAUGCGCAGAUAUCAGGAGGAACACCGGUGGCGAAGGCGGUUCUCUGGGCAUUACCUGACGCUGAGGAGCGAAAGUGUGGGGAGCGAACAGG